CCCAUUGGUCAAUCUGUUCGCAUCUCUUAUCUUCCAUGGAUGAUGCAUCUUGCAGCAUAUCGGGCGGUGCGAGGCCGUGAACCACCACCCAAGCACCACCGGGGGCGGUGCCCCGCAACCCGUGCAGGGCUGCCACAGCCUCCGGCGGCCGAAAAGGAUUAACAUCAGCUGCGCAGCCCAUCACACUCCAUGGAUCAAGGUGCAUCGGCCAGAUCCGCCAUCGAGAAGACGACCUCCAACACCGCCCCGCUACCCUGCAGCCUCGACAUGCCCAACGCCGGUCACCUCGACGACUCCGCCUCCUCAUGAACGGCCUCCACCAGCGCCCUACUACCCAGAAACGACGCCGUCGCCGCUUCUCGGCGGCUUCCCCUGCCCGUGGGAACGCAACGACGGGAGGAUGAGGCAAGCCCACGCGCGUCAAUUGCAGAGAGCCUUGCGAUGCAGCUACUGCUGUUGCCAGUGAGGGAUGCAAGAAUCUAAGUUGUUUGGCAAUACUGUAACAAGAAAGAGUUCUACAACAACAAGAAGAAAGGAAAACUGCAUUUCGUUCAGAUUUCAGAGUCCAGACUGCAUUAGGUGUUUCGAUGUAGCUGUUUUGUACUACUAUUGAAUAACUGCCACUAUUUUUUCAGAUUUUUAUACCUUUUGUAGGUGAAAGAAAAUGUAAUAGACUGAUUAUUGGUGAUAGGAGAUAUCUGCAUGUCAGCCACUGUGAGUGACCAUCAGAUAAUGCUCACCUUCUGGGGAAGCUUACUUUAGGAAUUUUGCGUUGGACAGAUAUAAUAUGCUCCAAGAUUUCAGGGAUUAAGCUAUGUGUUUCAUGGCCAUGAUCUUUUAAUGAUUGGACUUCUGGUUGCUCUAAUGCUGUCCUAAAUUUAGGAUUAUUCUUUGGUGUUCCUCUUGGAGUUCAGGCGACUAAUGAGGUAUGCAUUGCAGUGAAUAAUGGUCUUUUACUACAUGUAUAGAUCAAGUGUGCUCACAAGGAGCGCUGAUUGAGUGCCCGAGAGUUGAUUUUAAUAUUAUGAAAUUGUAUUUUGGUUGACAAUUGAAAAUAUAUCCCUACUCUUACAUAUUUGUGCUUUUUGUAUAAUUGUAACUCUUCGGAUUACAAUAAGUAUGUGUGUAGAUGAUAUAUGAGUAACAAGUUAUAGAGGUUGCCCUUAUAUUUUUCGUCUAAAAUUGUUUAUUGGAAUGUUAUUACUUUUGUUCAGCCAAAUGUGUUUGAGUUUUUUUUUCAAAUGCAUAAACAGGUCAAUGACUUGUAACAUUACUUCUGCCAACCUUCACCAUCCAAUAUCUUUUUGUACAAUGUCUCUUUAUUGACUAAACAAAUCCACUAGAUGUUUUAUUGCGAUUAAGUGUAAUGAUGCUCAAAAACAUUAUUGAUAGCAUAUAAUUCCGCAGCAACGCGCAGGAAAUCAUCUAGUUUCUUUAGCGAGGCAGUGCCGUUCCGGCUUUGAUUUCUUUUCAUUCAGGCGGUCGCCGCUUAGAUCGCUGCUUCUCGUAGGUGCGGCGACGUGCGUGGGCGUCUAUAUAAGGCAUGCGUUGCGUCCAACCGGACCCCCCGCUCACUCGCACCAGGUCCAGACACCCCCGGCGGCAUCCUCCUCCUCCUCCCCUUCUCACUUAUGUUCCCCAGCCAGCCCCCGUACGCACCGCCCCGCCGGUGGAGCUCAUCGGCAUUGGAGGCCCGUUCUGCAACAUCUGCCUCCUCGAGCUCCUGCUGGUGGCCUCGACGCCCGCCGGCGCUUCUCCAGCUCCUCCCGACGGCGUGGUGAGCGUCAGUCCACGGAGAGGAAGAAGCCGCCUGCACGCCCCGCCGCCCGCUGGAGCCCCGUGGCCCAGGCAAGUGUGUUUUCCCCUGCGUGUCUGGGUCGGGCUGCCAUCUUCCGUUUUUAUUUUGCUGCUUCUUUACUCUCUUUUUGAGCAGUGGGGGAUUGGCGCCCGCGGAGAAUCAUGGCGGACCCGUUGGCUGGGCAGUGCUCGCGUGGUGCACAGGUCGCCGGGCACCGUGAGACGGUGCCGCCGACGCUGCUCCAGCUCCAGGACACGUUAGUGCUGAUGUGGGCCACAGGGAAGCUGCCCUUGCAGCACGGUGCAUUCGGCGGAGGCGGCUAAACUUUCAGAUCGACGAUGACGCGUGGAUACCCAAGAACGACCACGGUAACGAGCUCUGUAGGUUGCCCCUCCCCUUCAUCUAGAGUCCAGAAUAUUUCUUUCACUCUCUCUCAGGUGCUGGCGAGCAGCCGGGCACCGAGGAUGGGGAAUGGCAGCGAGCACGGUGGGGGCUUGGCGAGCGGGGAUGGGGAGCGGAUAGCAUAGAAGAGAAGGCUGCGAGGAAGGGGUUGGGAGUUCUUUACCGGCAGCGGCGGGUGGCGGAAUGGCGAGGCCGGUUUGAACCUGGCUGCCCCUUUGGUCUAAUCUCUUAUUUUUUAUCGUUCUCAAUGACGUGUUCAUGGUCAGUUAGAUGCAGUGGCUAUCUCAUUUAGUAGCUUCAGUUCUAUCAAAUGUACAUGUUUCAUGUGGCUUCAAUGUUUGCCCCUUUAAGCUCAAAAAAAAAAUGUUUGCCCUUUCUUUAUCUUCAGUAGUGAUAGUACUAUGUAUGCAUGAUUGGUGAUUCAGUGCUACAAUUGGCAGGUGUCAUUGUGUCAAUGAACAUUGUUGAUAGCAGAAAAAAGACUAGAUGCAUGCAUGGCCCGUGUACAUGUUAAGAGAAUCGGAUUUCAUCAUUCGUAUACAUCGCUCGACAGGGUCUUCUGAGCUCAUGGAUUGGCACUGCGACAGAAAACUCGAGUCUAGAUGCAUGAAUGUGCUGAGUAGUUUGUUCAGUACACAGGUGAUGGUACAUUUUCAGUUAUAUCUGAACCAUGUAUGUGACUACAAUCUGAGACAUAUUUUCUUUGUACUUAAGAACGCUUAGCUACUUCGAGCAUUUAGAGCUGUAGCCCUGCUACUGUGAAGGCAAACAAGUUCUUACA